rnacentral:rRNA from 1 species
GACGAACGCUGGCGGCAUGCCUAAUACAUGCAAGUCGAACGCUGAAGCACUCUGCUUGCAGAGUGCGGAUGAGUGGCGAACGGGUGAGUAACACGUGGGAAAUCUGCCUAGGAGUGGGGGAUAACAUUCGGAAACGGAUGCUAAUACCGCAUAUCUUUUUGAACCGCAUGGUUCUUAAACGAAAGACGGCUUCGGCUGUCGCUCUUAGAUGAUCCCGCGGCGUAUUAGUUAGUUGGUGGGGUAAAGGCCUACCAAGACCAUGAUACGUAGCCGACCUGAGAGGGUGAUCGGCCACACUGGGACUGAGACACGGCCCAGACUCCUACGGGAGGCAGCAGUAGGGAAUCUUCCGCAAUGGGUGAAAACCUGAUGGAGCAAUGCCGCGUGAAUGAAGAAGGUCUUCGGAUCGUAAAGUUCUGUUAUUAGAGAAGAACAAGUCAAGGAGUAACUGUCUUGACUUUGACGGUACCUAACCAGAAAGUCACGGCUAACUACGUG